rnacentral:rRNA from 1 species
AUUGAACGCUGGCGGCAGGCCUAACACAUGCAAGUCGAGCGAGCGGCGGACGGGUGAGUAAUGUAUGGGGACUGCCCGGUAGAGGGGGAUAACUACUGGAAACGAAGGCUAAUACCGCAUCCUAUCGGAUAACCCAUAUGGGAUGAGCUAGUUGGUGGGGUAAAGGCGCACCUAGGCGACGAUCUCGAGCUGGUCUGAGAGGAUGAUCAGCCAGCCGGGGACUGAGACACGGCCCAGACUCCUACGGAGGCAGCAGUGGGGAAUAUUGGACAAUGGGAGCAAGCCUGAUGCAGCCAUGCCGCGUGUAUGAAGAAGGCCUUAGGGUUGUAAAGUACUUUCAGCGGGUAGGCGUGACCCGCAGAAGAAGCACCGGCUAACUCCGUGCCAGCAGCCGCGGUAAUUC